rnacentral:tRNA from 1 species
GGCCUAGCUCAAUUGGUAGAGCAACUGACUUGUAAUCAGUAGGUUGGGGGUUCAAGUCCUCUGGCCGGCACCA